ACUUCUCUCCUCCCCAAUCCCGUGCGCUCCCCAAGCCGCCGCCACGAGCCGCCACCGUCGACCGUCGUCGUGCCUUGCCCCCUCGCGCCUCGCCCUCUGCGACUCCAAGCCGCCGCCAUCGCGCCUCUCCGCCUCAACCCACCCAGCGCUGGAGGUGGAGGAGCAGCUAAGGGCGGCGCUGGGACGGAGGUGGAGGAGCACGGAUUCGGAAGAGGCGCGCGCUCGUUCGCGCCCUCGAUUUCGUCCAACGGCGGCUGGCCGCGAGCUGGCGGCCAAAGGCGGCAACCGAGCGGGGCGGCGGCUGGCGGCGCUCACCCUCGAUUUCGUCCGACCGUUAAGGAAAGCUUCUCGUGAGAGAGAGAGAGGCUCCGGUGAACCUGAUUAGGUGUGCUUUGGGUUGAAUCCGGAUUGAUUUUUAUGGAGAAGAUUGUGGUCAGAUUGAGAUUCGUAACCCCUUUUGUCCAUGAUGAACAAAUGGUGCUUUUGCUGCUGUGCUUGCAACCCGUUGUGCAGGAAUUUAUAGGAACAAUGGUUUUCUGAUGGUAUCGUGCAAUGAUGGUCUUAACCCAAUGCAAGCUGCUGUCUGUGAAUAAGAGAUCAAGAAGGCCAACAUGUGUGCAGCUUUUCUUCAUUCUUAGAUCUGAACUCCUCUUGUUUCAUAAAGCACUAGGAGCAAAAAUACUUGCAUUUGUGGAAUAUCCAUAUAUAUUUGAUACCUCCGUUUCCUUCAAAUAAAUCUCAGUUCACAAAAAUAAAUUACUUGCCAGCGUGCAGUAGAUUAGUUCACAAAAAUAAAUUACCAUAUUUGUUUGUAGUUGUAUCCCUGACUAAUAAAGAGUUGGUUCACUGCUGCAGUAUCAAUUCUUACGAUAAAAUGGGUCUUCUUAUGAUGUUCUUAUUAGUAUCGUUACUCCAUCUGGAGAAUGAUGUUUACUCUUUCAGCUAACAGCAUAUUUGAAACAAAAAGUUAGUUGUCAUUUUCAUUUUUAAAAUUAAAUUUGUAGUGUGAAUCUGUUAUGCUUAAUCAUGGUGGGGGUCCUUUUGAAGUUGUUCCUGGCUCCAAGCAUGAUUCUGCUAGCCACAGAGGUUCAAAUCCAUAAGUACAGCUUAACGAUUUGGAUUUCAAUCAUUCUUUCUAUCCAUUAUGGUUUGGUUUUAAAUGCUUUGAGAGCUUUUUAUUAAGAUUUUGUAUGAUUAAGAACCUAAAAAAUACCUUGAAUGCCCUCAAUAUUUAGAGUUAGUUAUAGUGAUCUUGUACAGAGCUUUUGCCUGCAAAGGUUGUCCGUGUUACUCUACGGAUCAUCUGAUGAUGGUUCAGUGAAGCUAUGGAGUAUGAAUCAGGCAAUUCUACUCUUACACCUGAUCAAAAAAAAUUAUGAACUCUGCAGCCUGGGAGUGUUGGCACUGUCAGAACAAGGGCAAAUAUCUGCUCUAUACAGCAUGUUUCCGCUCGCUCCAUUGCAAAUGACUCCUCUUCUCACGGUAUUGUUUUAGAAAUGGUUCCUGUUGGACGAAUAAACAAGUGCUCUCUCACCUUCUGCUUAAGAAUACACGGAGGCGUAAAGAGAACUUGUUGGCAAGCUGCUGAUGAAGGACAAUCACCGUUUGGGACACUCCAGUGUCAUGGACAUUGUAAAUGCAGCAUGGCCGGCAUGAUACCGGCUGUUGUACAUGCACAUUAACUUCCAUUUCAUCCAUUUACUUUUACUACCCAUUAAUCGUUUGUUUUUCUACGAUUGCUAUUUAUUGACAGUUUAUGCAUCUUCCUGAUUGUACAGAAACUUAUAAUGCAGUCUUCUCAGUUUUGCUAUGAAAGGAAUUGCCAGUAUCAUGCCUUUUCUUAUGUUACGAGCAUAUGUUUCUACAAGGUUUGUAAUACAUCAGUUGAUGGUGAUAUUGCAUUUGCACAAUUCAUAACCAUCCGUCCGCUAUCUAAGCAUUGUUUUUUCAGCUCAGAUCUUAGAAAAUUAGAAUGUCAUAUGGAAAUUCUGCAACAACCCAUGAUAAAACUCUACAAUAAAACCUCUUUUUUUUAAGUUAGAUGUCUUAUUUUGUGAACCCUUGAUAACGCAAGAAUUAAUUGUGCUAUAGUUCAUAAAAACUUCCUGUGGGGAAAGUAACUAACUAUGUUGACUUUGCAUUCAGAAUAUCAAGUGCAUAUUAAUGGAAAUGGAAGUCAUUGGAAUAUCUUGUCUUAGCCGCAGAGGGUGGAGUAUCUGUAAAUAUAGACAGUGAAUUUGAUUUGGAAAAUAUUACUACUGAUGCUGAGUUUCCAGGAAAGAAAGUGCCUGAACAUAUUACCACAUGUGCAAUUAUCCCUCCUCCCAAAGUGGAUUGUUUAUUUCAUUAUGGAAUCCAUUUUUCCCAUUAUGUUUACUUGGCAACCAUAUAUUGAUCUCCACGCUCCUCCCUCAUGCUACAUUGUGGUUCCACUGUUGGCAGCAGUCUGAUUGACCCUUGCGGGGUGAGGGAGUAGACAUUGGUGGAUAUCGGAGGGCAUGAGCUCACGGUGGUCGCCCAGAUUUCAACAGCCUCGACAGAUAGAGAAGGUACUUCUUGUUUGCUAGCUAAGUUUUCCAUGAAACCGCGGGGCUAGAUAUUACAAUGCAUGAUUGUAUCAGAAAAUAGAUGUGUUUCCAAUGCAACUUUGGUGAUUAUGAUUGAAAUCCGAGUUGUAUUUGUUAUACAUCUCUUUCUCUAAUAUAUGUUUGAUUAAUCUGCACCGCUAUAAUCUGGAACCAGUUGCUGGUGCGAAUACCUAAAGUUCCAAAUGGGAUCCUCUAGAUUCCUUUU